UAUUUCCGUAUAUAGAUAAAAUUAGUAGUCAUUACUGGUUUGUUGUUAUAUUUUCAAAAAGUUGUAUUAAAUAGUUAACCUAGUUUAAAAUUUCAAGUUAUUUUAAACACGGAAGAUACUUGAACAAUUUCUAAAAACCGCCAAUUUCAUAGUGCAUAGUUCUAGGAAGUACUCGUAGUGAAGGUGAAGGGUAUAUUUUCAGCAUGUGUAUACGUUAAUUUUAUUUUUUUAAUUAUUUAUUGUAUUACAGAUAAGAAAAUGUCGGCGAGCAAAAACU
rnacentral:lncRNA from 1 species